rnacentral:rRNA from 1 species
UACGUAGGGCGCGAGCGUUGUCCGGAUUUAUUGGGCGUAAAGAGCUCGUAGGCGGCUUGUCGCGUCGUCCGUGAAAACCUGCAGCUCAACUGCAGGCUUGCGGUCGAUACGGGCAGGCUAGAGUUCGGUAGGGGAGACUGGAAUUCCUGGUGUAGCGGUGAAAUGCGCAGAUAUCAGGAGGAACACCAGUGGCGAAGGCGACUACCUGGCCUGUUCUUGACGCUGAGGCGCGAAAGCUAGGGGAGCAAACGGG